UACCGAUAAUAUUCCAGCCCAACUGUAUAUAUAUAUAUAUAUAUAUAUAGAGUCCGGCUACUAUACUAUUAUCAGUACGAUCGCCCUCGUACUCAUAAAUUGUUUUCGAUGAUAGAGCUUCCGAAUCGACGAUCCACACCGUUAAAUAUUAUCUAGAGCAUUUAAAACGUCUAGAAAUCAAAUUUUAUAAUUUUUCGACACCAUUUACUUUACGAUCAAAAGGUCACAAAAUUGAUAAUUUUUAACGGCCGGUAUGAGAUAUUUGCUAGUUUAACGGUGUAAAAGAAUCGAAAUCGGUUGAAUUUUUGAUAGAAAAUUUUAUUCACUAUAUAGAUAAAGAUCAAUAACUUCGAUCUUAAGUUAAAGGAUCCGAUCUUCCAUUUUUAAGAUGUCGUUCGAUUUUGACCGUUCAUUUUAUACCCGCUUGAUGGAUUUUAUUAUGAUUUCGAAAAAUUACAAAAUUUAUUUUCUAGAGAGAGAGAGAGACAGAGAGAGAGAGAGUGUUCGGCUACUAUACUCUUAUGAGUAUAGAUUUUUUUAUACUCAUAAAUUUUCAGCCGUUAGAUCUACCUCUUUGACCAUUUUCAACUGUUAGAUCAAACUAUUCAACCAAUCACCCACUCAACCCGAGGGGACCGCUAUUAUCCUAACCAUGGAUCACUAUUGUCCUAACUGCACAAUUCUUCAUCCAACAGUCGAAAAUUUAUGAGUACAAAGGAAUCUAUACUCAUAAGAGUAUAAUAACCCUAACUUAUAGAGAGAGAGAGAGAGAGAGAGAGAGAGUGAGUUAGGCUGAUAUGCUUCUCAUCGGCCCCAUUAGACUUGAUCUAGAGUAUUUGAAAUACCUAUAAAUAAAUUUCGUAAUUUUUUGAUACAAUUUGCCUAGUGAUCAAAGGGGCUCAAAAUCAACCAUUUUAAUGGUUGCAGUGAGCCGUUUACAAGUUUAACGGUGUAGAAAUAUUCAAAUCAUGUAAAACUUUUACAGAAAAUUUUUUAUACUAUAUAAAACAAGAUCAAUAUCUUUAAUCUAAAAUUUUAGUGUCAUACCAUCACAUUUUGUGAGAUUUUUAUUUUCAACCAUUGAUUUUGAAUUCUUUCAAUUACUAGAUAAAUGAUAUCGAAAAAUUAUGAAAUUUAUUUUUAGAUACUUUAAAUAUUUUAGAUCAAAUCUAACAAAACCAAUCGUCGAUUUGAAAGUCCCACCAUCAAAAACGACUUCGAAACACAGAAAACUCCGUGCUUCUAGAAGCACACCAGUCUAUAACAAUCUUACAUUAUAAUCAUUGAGAGGCUCAUAUUUAUUCAGUAAUCUUGUUAACUUUUUUUUUGUAACACAAUUUAUUUUAAUAUAUAUAUAUAUAUAUAAAGAAUUUUCUAUCAAAAUUUCACAUGAUUUUGAUAUUUCUACCCCGUUAAACUUGCAAACGGCUCACCACGGCCAUUAAAAUAAUUGAUUUUUAGCUCCUUCGAUCACUAGGCAAAUGAUAUCGAAAAUCAUAAAAUUUAUUUUUUACGUACUUCAAAUACUCUAGAUCAAGUUUAAUGGAGCUGAUCGACGAUUCGAAAGUCGCAACAUCGAAAACGACCUGGAAGCACGAAAGGCUCCGUGCUUCCAGAAGCAUAGUAGCCUCACUAUAUAUAUAUAUAUAUAUAUAUAUAUAGAGUAGGGCUAGAAUACUUUUACAAGUAUCACCCAAGUGAUACUUGUGUGUUUUUAGCCAUUGGAUCUACUUUUUGAUUACUAAUAGUUCUUGGAUCAAAUACUAUUCCACCUACCACCACCUACCACCAUCAUCUCAACCUCACAUCUCUCCAUCCAAGGGCUAAAAACACACAAGUAUCACUUGGAUGAUACUUUUACAAGUAUUCUAGCUCUACUCUAUAUAUAUAUAUAUAUAUAU
rnacentral:lncRNA from 1 species